CACGCUGUCAUUCAUAACACAAAGAUCAAUAAUGGAACAAAAUUCACGAAAAAGUUCAAUAAACAUCUAUGCAACUAUGAGAUGCACACCUUUCGAGUCCCAAUGAAACACACGUAUAAGCUUAAUCAAUUCUGUUGAG